ACGCUCGAUACCUACGGGAGGCAGCAGUGGGGAAUAUUGCACAAUGGGGGAAACCCUGAUGCAGCGACGCCGCGUGGAGGAAGAAGGUCUUCGGAUUGUAAACUCCUGUUGUUGGGGAAAAAGAGGAUGGUACCCAACAAGGAAGUGACGGCUAACUACGUGCAAGCAGCCGCGGUAAUCUGAGCGGGCUGGCAAGGC
rnacentral:rRNA from 1 species